AAGGUGGAGUUGAAUAAGUGCAAAAAUUACGUCACAAAAGAUAUACUCAUUCGCAGCCAGGAUAAAAAAUAAUCACACCAAAAAUGAUUUCAAAUUCUCCAGGAUUACAAAUACUUCAGGACUUUUAAAUAUUUCAGGAUUUUAAAUACUACACGAUUUUAAAGAGUAGAUAAACAAGCUAAUUUACCGAGACGAUAAAGCGCGUAACGACCAGUCAACUGCACUCUCUGGAACAAGACCCAGCCGUUAAGGCUCUUUGUCUUAUAUAAUGGGAUUCUUUUGAUGAGUAUUAUUGUUAGUCACCACUACGCCUGAGACCUAUAGCCGUUAGAUUCCCUGUGCUUUACAAGUACUGUGUCUGGAUACUAUGGCUGUGUAAAACCAGUAGCAUCCCUGUACACAUCUACAUGAGUUGGACUUAUUUGUGAUCGUAUGCGGUUCCUAGUAAAGCUCAAUAAAUGUUAACUAAUAUGUUAUUUAACAUAACUUUAAGUGUAGGAUCGACGUCGUUAUACGAGGAAGAAUAAAAAAUGUGUCUUCUCAAGUUUCCAUGCUGAUCUAUUUGGUAAUCAGGGAGCUUUUCUAGAUCUGUUUUCACUGUGUAACGUGGUUUUAUCGUCGACUGAGGUAGUUUUGACUUUUGACAUUUGAAAAAGUCUAAAAUCAGCUUUUGUUUAAUUUUGAAAUUGUUUGGUGAGAAGGGGUAUAUAAAAUACAGCUAAAAAAUCAUUGAAUUAGUUUUGUGCGAAAGAGAGGAAAAUAGCUUUUUGCUCGUGACGUCUCUGUAUACCCUGUGUCCAAAGUCGACUCACGGUUCCACAAACCUUAAGUAGAAGGAGGGUUAAAUAACAAUGUUUUAUUUAUAUUUCUUAUUCGAUACAAUAAAUUUUGUUAACAAAAGAAAAAAAUUAUUAGCAGCAUUGAUAAUAAGUCGGGAUUAAGGAUAUUUUCGGCGGUUUAUUCGGAUUUCUCAGGAACACGAAAUCUCCUCUGGCGGUCUGGAUUUCUGUUCAGGUGAUUCAGGAUCGGUGUUAACUUAAAGCUAAAUAUUUAUAUAAUACAGUAAACUUAAGUCUAUCUUAAAAUCUACUAACAACCAACGUCGGUGUGCCGAAACUAUCAACCGAAGUCGCAGUAUCUAAAUCAACAACCGAAGUUGCGGUGCCGAAACCAAUAAGAUGACGAAACUAUCGACCGAAGUCGCAGUAUCCAAACCAACAACCGAAGUUGCGGUGCCGAAACCAAUAACCGAAGCUGAGGUGACGAAACUAUCGACCGAAGUCGCGGUGACGAAACUAUCGACCGAAGUAGCAGUGUCUGAAACUAUCGACCGAAGUCGCAGUACAAGGUGACACUCGAACCAAGUCCGAACACCGGGGGCUGUUAUCGCAAGAAGCGUUAACAGCAGCCUUAAAAUAAUUGGCAAAUUCUUGUCUCGGUUGAACCGCCCUCA